rnacentral:rRNA from 1 species
UACGAAGGGAGCUAGCGUUAUUCGGAAUUACUGGGCGUAAAGGGCGCGUAGGCGGUUUAUUAAGUCAGUUGUUAAAUCCCAUGGCUCAACCAUGGAUCGGCAAUUGAUACUGUUAAACUAGAGGGCAAGAGAGAGGAGUGGAAUUCUCGGAGUAGCGGUAAAAUGCGUAGAUCUCGAGAGGAACACCGAUGUCGAAGGCAGCUCUUUGGAUUGUACCUGACGCUGAGGCGCGAAAGCGUGGGGAGCAAACAGG